UUAUAAGAGACAGCAGUCGCCGCGGGAAUACAGAGGGUGCGAGCGUUAAUCGGAUUUACUGGGCGUAAAGCGUGCGUAGGCGGCUUCUUAAGUCGGAUGUGAAAUCCCUGAGCUUAACUUAGGAAUUGCAUUCGAUACUGGGAAGCUAGAGUAUGGGAGAGGAUGGUAGAAUUCCAGGUGUAGCGGUGAAAUGCGUAGAGAUCUGGAGGAAUACCGAUGGCGAAGGCAGCCAUCUGGCCUAAUACUGACGCUGAGGUACGAAAGCAUGGGGAGCAAACAGGAUUAGAUACCCGGGUAGUCCCUGUCUCUUAUAA
rnacentral:rRNA from 1 species